CCUACGCGAGGCAGCAGUGAGGAAUAUUGGUCAAUGGGCGCAAGCCUGAACCAGCCAAGUCGCGUGAGGGAUGACGGUCCUAUGGAUUGUAAACCUCUUUUGUAGGGGAGCAAGGCCCGCCACGUGUGUCGGGAAGGAGAGUACCCGAAGAAAAAGCAUAGGCUAACUCCGUGCAAGCAGCCGCGGUAAUACGGGGGAGGGGAGUGUAAUCCGGUUUAAUUGGGUUGAAAGGGUGCGUAAGCGGUAGGUUAAGCCGGCGGUAAAAUUUCGGUGCUCACCACAGGCUUGCCGUUGAUACUGGGCUUCUUGAGUGAGCGAGAAGUAUGCGGAAUGCGUGGUGUAGCAGUGAAAUGCAUAGAUAUCACGCAGAACUCCGAUUGCGAAGGCAGCAUACCGGCGCCCGACUGACGCUGAGGCACGAAAGCGUGGGGAUCGAACAGGAUUAGAUACCCGGGUAGUC
rnacentral:rRNA from 1 species